UGUCUGGGAAACUGCCUGAUGGAGGGGGAUAACUACUGGAAACGGUAGCUAAUACCGCAUAACGUCGCAAGACCAAAGAGGGGGACCUUAGGGCCUCUUGCCAUCGGAUGUGCCCAGAUGGGAUUAGCUAGUAGGUGGGGUAAAGGCUCACCUAGGCGACGAUCCCUAGCUGGUCUGAGAGGAUGACCAGCCACACUGGAACUGAGACACGGUCCAGACUCCUACGGGAGGCAGCAGUGGGGAAUAUUGCACAAUGGGCGCAAGCCUGAUGCAGCCAUGCCGCGUGUAUGAAGAAGGCCUUCGGGUUGUAAAGUACUUUCAGCGGGGAGGAAGGGAGUAAAG
rnacentral:rRNA from 1 species